AGCAAAGCAUGGUGACUCUGAAGAGGCCAGGGAUCCAGGCUCACUUACCAGGUUCAAGAUGUUUUUGGAGAGCUGGAUACUCCUAGACUGUGGUCAAUUGGCUUUAGAUGGAGGAAUUGUGUGAGUGUGAUUGGAGUUGGAUUACCAUGAGACCAAAUGCUGUGAAGCAAAUAGAGAGGAAGGUCCAGGAGGCAAGAGAAGUCAAGAGGAUAUUAAGGAGAUUUAUUCUCCACACCAGAAAAUUCAAAAUCUUACAAGAUACAAUUGAUUUAUAAGGAGCAGAGACAGGAAAAAUAGACAUAUAUCACAAUGAUGGUAAAAAAUAAAAUGGUGAUAGAAAAAGGAAGACAUGGAUUAUAACAAAUUUCAGCAUGACUC